rnacentral:rRNA from 1 species
GACGAACGCUGGCGGCGUGCUUAACACAUGCAAGUCGAACGGAAAGGCCCUGCUUUUGUGGGGCGCUCGAGUGGCGAACGGGUGAGUAACACGUGAGUAAACUGCCCUUGACUUUGGGAUAACUUCAGGAAACUGGGGCUCAUACCGGAUAGGAGCUCCUGCUGCAUGGGGGGGGUUGGAAAGAUUCGGCGGUUGGGGAUGGACUCGCGGCUUAUCAGCUUGUUGGUGGGGUAGUGGCUUACCAAGGCUUUGACGGGUAGCCGGCCUGAGCGGGUGACCGGCCACAUUGGGACUGAGAUACGGCCCAGACUCCUACGGGAGGCAGCAGUGGGGAAUAUUGCACAAUGGGCGGAAGCCUGAUGCAGCAACGCCGCGUGCGGGAUGCCGGCCUUCGGGUUGUAAACCGCUUUCGCCUGUGACGAAGCGUGAGUGACGGUAAUGGGUAAAGAAGCACCGGCUAACUACGUG